GUGUCAGCCGCCGCGGUAAUACGAAGGGCGCUAGCGUUGUUCGGAAUUACUGGGCGUAAAGCGCGCGUAGGCUGUUUAACAAGUCAGGGGUGAAAUCCUUGGGCUCAACCCAAGAAUUGCCUUUGAAACUGUUAGACUUGAGUGUCGGAGGGGAUAGCGGAAUUGCUAAUGUAGAUGUGAAAUUCGUAGAUAUUAGCAGGAACACCGGUGGCGAAGGCGGCUAUCUGGACGACAACUGACGCUGAGGCGCGAAAGCGUGGGGAUCAAACAGGAUUAGAAACCCUGGUAGUCC
rnacentral:rRNA from 1 species